GACGGAGGGCGCAAGCGUUGUUCCGAAUCACUGGGCGUAAAGCGCGUGUAGGCGGCUUGGCAAGUCGGGUGUGAAAGCCCGGAGCUCAACCCCGGAACUGCAUUCGAAACUGCCUCGCUCGAGUCCCGGAGAGGGUGGUGGAAUUCCCGGUGUAGAGGUGAAAUUCGUAGCUAGCGGGAGGAACACCAGUGGCGAAGGGGGCCACCGGGACGGUGACUGACGCUGAGACGCGAAAGCGGGGGGAGCAAACAGG
rnacentral:rRNA from 1 species